AACUUGAAAAUCUAUGGUGAAUCUUGUCCAAUUUCUAUGUUCUAGGUUCAAGUUAGCUUCCGGAACUUGUGGGCUCAAUCUAUUGAGCAUAUGGGUGUGGUGUAGUUUAAGAGGGUGUUUAUGCAUUGGACUUGAAUUUGGAUUACUUGGAGCUUUGUUGGUGACAAGGCUUGCUUUUGGGCUGUUUGAUUGAGCUUGGAGGGGUUGUGAUUUUGUGUUGAGAGGUUUCCUUGGGUGAAUUAAGUGAUCGGCCAAGAUGCAGGUCGAGAGGCUCCUCGCUAGGCGUCUGGAUCCUGGGAAGCGAAGUAUUCCUUGGGUGUAUUUUGGUUUUCUAUUUGUAUAUAUGUAUAUAUGUAUUUAGCUUACUCUCCAAGUAACUUAUGUAUGCUGCUCCUCUUAGAGGUUGAGGGAGAGAUAGGAGUUUAUUUUGGUAUUUUGGUAUAUUUUGGGGAUACCUAUGUAUGUUCAUAUGUAUAUAUAUAUAUAUAUCCUCUGGCCAGCCUUAGCUUCGCAGGCUAAGUCAGGGGCUAGUUAUGCUGUUUCCUUG